GAGUUUGAUCCUGGCUCAGAUUGAACGCUGGCGGAAUGCUUUACACAUGCAAGUCGAGCGGCAGCGCGGGGCAACCUGGCGGCGAGCGGCGAACGGGUGAGUAAUGCAUCGGAACAUGUCCAUGUCGUGGGGGAUAGCCCGGCGAAAGCCGGAUUAAUACCGCAUACGCCCGAGAGGGGAAAGUGGGGGACCGCAAGGCCUCACGCGAUUGGGUUGGCCGAUGUCCGAUUAGCUAGUUGGCGGGGUAAGAGCCCACCAAGGCGAUGAUCGGUAGCUGGUCUGAGAGGAUGAUCAGCCACACUGGGACUGAGACACGGCCCAGACUCCUACGGGAGGCAGCAGUGGGGAAUUUUGGACAAUGGGGGCAACCCUGAUCCAGCCAUUCCGCGUGAGUGAAGAAGGCCUUCGGGUUGUAAAGCUCUUUUGUCCGGAACGAAACGGUGCACGUGAAUAUCGUGCGCUACUGACGGUACCGGAAGAAUAAGCACCGGCUAACUACGUGCCAGCAGCCGCGGUAAUACGUAGGGUGCGAGCGUUAAUCGGAAUUACUGGGCGUAAAGCGUGCGCAGGCGGUUUUGUAAGCCAGAUGUGAAAUCCCCGGGCUUAACCUGGGAAUGGCAUUUGGGACUGCAAGGCUUGAGUGCGGCAGAGGAGACUGGAAUUCCUGGUGUAGCAGUGAAAUGCGUAGAUAUCAGGAGGAAUACCGAUGGCGAAGGCAGGUCUCUGGGCUGACACUGACGCUCAUGCACGAAAGCGUGGGGAGCAAACAGGAUUAGAUACCCUGGUAGUCCACGCCCUAAACGAUGUCGACUGGUUGUUGGGGGUUUGACACUCUCAGUAACGAAGCUAACGCGUGAAGUCGACCGCCUGGGGAGUACGGCCGCAAGGUUAAAACUCAAAGGAAUUGACGGGGACCCGCACAAGCGGUGGAUUAUGUGGAUUAAUUCGAUGCAACGCGAAAAACCUUACCUACCCUUGACAUGUCCGAGAGGCCGCAGAGAUGUGGCUGUGCCCGAAAGGGAAUCGGAACACAGGUGCUGCAUGGCUGU
rnacentral:rRNA from 1 species